rnacentral:rRNA from 1 species
UACGUAGGGUGCGAGCGUUAAUCGGAAUUACUGGGCGUAAAGCGUGCGCAGGCGGUUUGCUAAGACAGGUGUGAAAUCCCCGGGCUCAACCUGGGAACUGCGCUUGUGACUGGCAGGCUGGAGUACGGCAGAGGGGGGUGGAAUUCCUGGUGUAGCAGUGAAAUGCGUAGAUAUCAGGAGGAACAUCGAUGGCGAAGGCAGCCCCCUGGGCCGCUACUGACGCUCAUGCACGAAAGCGUGGGGAGCAAACAGG